rnacentral:snRNA from 1 species
AUACUUACCUGGCAGGGGCGAUACCUUGAUCAUGAAGGAGGUUCACCCAGAGUGAGGCUUGGCCAUUGCACCCCUUUGCGAAUUCCCCAAAUGUGGGAAUCUCGACUGCAUAAUUUGUGGUAGUGGGGGACUGCGUACGCGCUCUGCCCUG